GUCCUCGUAGCACAAAGGAUAAUGCAACUGCCUCCUAAGCAGUAGAGUGAUGGUUCGAGUCCAUUCGAGGACGCCA
rnacentral:tRNA from 9 species